rnacentral:rRNA from 1 species
UACGUAGGGUGCUAGCGUUAUCCGGAAUCACUGGGCGUAAAGCGUGCGUAGGCGGCUUGUUAAGUGAGAUGUUAAAUCGUGUGGCUCAACCAUAUCGAUGCAUUUCAUACUGGCAGGCUAGAGGACGGCAGAGGCAAGUGGAAUUGGUAGUGUAGCAGUGAAAUGCGUAGAUAUUACCAGGAACACCAAUGGCGAAGGCAGCUUGCUGGGCCGACCCUGACGCUGAGGUACGAAAGCUAGGGGAGCAAAUGGG